rnacentral:rRNA from 1 species
CUAAGAAUAUUCCGCAAUGGACGGAAGUCUGACGGAGCGACGCCGCGUGGAUGAAGAAGGCCGAAAGGUUGUAAAGUUCUUUUGCUGGGGAAGAAUAACCGCAGGAGGGAAUGCCUGUGGGAUGACAAGAACCGGCGAAUAAGCCCCGGCCAACUACGUGCCAGCAGCCGCGGUAACACGUAGGGGGCGAGCGUUGUUCGGAAUUACUGGGCGUAAAGGGCAUGUAGGCGGCUUGGAAAGCCUGGCGUGAAAGUCUGCAGCUUAACUGCAGGGGUGCGCUGGGAACUGCUGAGCUUGAGUGACGGAGAGGGAGCUGGAAUUCCUGGUGUAGGGGUGAAAUCUGUAGAUAUCAGGAAGAACACCGAUGGCGAAGGCAAGCUCCUGGCCGAUGACUGACGCUGAGGUGCGAAAAGUGUGGGGAUCAAAACAGGAUUAGAUACCCUGGUAGUCCACACAGUCAACGAUGUGCACUAGGUGCUGGGGCGGUAGCUUCGGUGCCGGAGCGAAACGUGGUAAGUGCACCGCCUGGGGAGUAUGCUCGCAA